rnacentral:sRNA from 1 species
CUUUAAACCUUAUUGCAGCGGUAUACUUUUUGGCUGAAAACUUUUGCAGUUCCGCAGAACCUGAAUUUAGCUUGGUAAGUUUUAAGCCGAAAAGAUAUAGCGGAAAGAAGGACUGACG